UAUAAUAACCUCCACUCUUCUGGGAAGGCUUUCCACUCGAUUUUGGAGCGUGGCUGUAGGGAUUUGUGCUCAUUCCAGCACAAAAGCAUUAGUGAGAUCAGGCACUGAUGUUAAAUGAGAAGGCCUGGGGUGCAGUCGGCAUGCCAAUUCCAUUCAGGUGUUCAGUGCGGUUGAUGUCUGGGCUCUGUGCAGGCCAUUUGAGUUCUUCCACAUCAACCUUGGCAAACCUUGUCUUCCUGGACCUCGCUAUGUGCACCGGGGCAUUUUUUAUGAUGAAACAGGUUCGGGCCCUUUAGUUUCAGUGAAGGAAAAUCUUAAUGCUACAGCGUACAAAGACAUUUUAGACUUGUGCUUCUAACUUUGUGGCAACAGUUUGGGGAAGACCCACACACACACAAGUGUGAUGGUCAGGUGUCCACAUACUUUUGGCCAUAUAGUGUACAUGUAAACCUCACGCUUCCACAUAAUACAGUAUGAUUGAUUCAUAAGGUAACAAUUUGAUCAUGCAAAUUUCAUUUACGAAUGAUUUAGAGAGUCAGUUUAAAUCAAUCACGAGUUUAAAAAAAUGUUACCUUUAUUAAAUCGUCAUAACAUCAAUCAUUACACCCCAUUCCUUUAGUUUCUGUACAUAAAUAAGGAAGCUGCUUUUGUCUUUUGUGGAUACGCCUAUUUUUAAUCCUGUUUUGGGGCCUGACUCAUUUGGCUUUGCUACCAGAACAUGUUCAUUGCUCUAUGCUGUACUUUUAAAUGUGUGAUACUGUGUUCAUUGUUGUUUUGAGAUUUCUUAUAAGCUAUCAACAUAUUCACAUUAAAUUACAGUAACUUUUGGAACCAUCCAAGAAAAGAAAGCAAUAAAGAAACACGUCCACUGCUUGAAAACCUUCAGCAGUCAUCUAGGUCAUUUUGAAUUGCCUGACUCGGCAAUCUGGAAUGGAGUUAAAUAAUUGAAAUCGGAUUUUUUUUUAUUUUUGGGUUCACCAAAUCCCAUACCUGUGAACUCAGGAUUCAAGAUUGUGUUUAGGGUUUUUCAAGCCCUGUUGCUUCGGGAGUUUCAAGUUUCAUUUCCAAGAAUUGCUGAUACUUGGUUUGCUUAUUUCAAUUUUAAAGAGUCAGGGUUGUGUGUUAACCAAAGUAAACAAGCACUCAAGAUUUUUUUCCCCUCAAAUUACCUUUUAAUAUGGAUCUAUAUCCAGUUUCAUCAUACCCAGAUUUAAAUGAACAAAAACUAAGGAAAUAUAACAGAACAUAGUAUUUUUAAUUGAUCGUGUAAACUAGUUUACAUUGCUCCAACUUCAGCAGACCAAUCACAGCUGGCAGACGGUAUUAACAAAGUUAGACUGUUAUGUCAGAAAAUUCUGUCAAUAAGAUCAAAUAGUUAUGAUCAAGUAACAGUGUGAUUUUAGCUCAAUUUUAUACCAAAUAUAUUUCACCUCUGUGCACAGACAUGCUUAUAUUAAUUUCUUAAUGAUAAAAAAAAAAAAAUCAUUGUACAAGUUAAUGUUCAUAAAUAUUUGAAGCAACAGAGUCAGGGGUAGUUAUUCUGUUACACUGAACUUAAUUAUUCUAACAGAAUUUUGGAUAAGUACAUUAGUUGAAGAUUUGCAUACAAUUUGGCACACAUUUUAACCAUAAUUUGCAUUCUUUAUAAAGUAUCUUUUUUUUCCUUUUAUCUGAUGAAUGGGCUGGUAGACAAAAAGGCUAAACAUAUAGCUGAAGGUAUUUUGUUCUCUUGCACCAAAAAAAAGAAGCACCAAUAGUUUUACACCCAAAAUUCAUUAAUCAGUGCAGUUAAGUGUUCAUCUCACAGAACGGAGAUAUAAUCGCUCACGUUUGCAUGAGAACUGAACAACACAGACAUGUGACUCACUAGACUGACUACAAUAUUGUUUUCCACAUACAGUACCCUCCACUAAUAUUGGCACCCUUGGUACAUAUGAGCAAAGAAGGAUCUGAAAAUUUGAUUUUUUUUUUUUUUGUUUAAAAAAAAAAAAACAACUCACAAAAAUCACUCUGCUCUCGUUGAUAUGAA
ensembl:lncRNA